UCGAUCUGUUCUGUCCAGACUCCGCCCGUCCCCAUUCCAAGAUUUCCCCAUUGCCCCUUCGCCGAGCUCGUCCAGGUGCCGCAAUUUCGCUCUCCUCCUUUAUCUGAGCUCGUCCAGUUGAGGCGAUUCUAAGUCCUUUUCCAUUUCUCCAACUUAUUUUCUCCUGCUAGUUGAUGAGAUCUGCGUCAUUACUUCCUCGAUUUAUUUCCUGAUUUGCUACUGUUUGCUGCAACUUGAUUUUCACCUUCGAUUGAUACAGUUGUAGGCUAUAUUACUCGUGUAAUCAUGGCCUUGGGUUUGUUUGAAUCAUUUCUGCCACUAGUCAGUACCAGAAGUUUGAUUUGUAGCUAACUAUUUGCCGAGCCUAGGAUUUGGCCAUGAUCUCUGGUUGACUCCAAAUGCCCCCAAAUUCGUGCUUAUUUUAUCAACCAAGGAAAAUUUGUUAAUCAAGUCUUUGAUUGUGCCAUGCUUGGUAACGUUUGCUACGUGAAAAUUUGGCAUACUUGUCCUAUAAUUAAUUUGACGAAUCUCUCAAUUAAGUUUUCAUUCAUGCGCUUUUUUCAAACUGACAUGUGAUUUGUUUGCUUGUACCUAUUUCUAUGUUAUACUGUUAUUUGGUCAAGGUUACAUCGCUUGUUUUAUUUGCUUCUACCUCGAAUUUUAGGUUACCAAUUGAUACGAGCUAGUAUUGUCAUUUUGUAUUUUAUUUUGCCUCAUGAGUAAUCCAUUUGAGGUCUACUUGUCUGCUCUGUAAGGCCGAUUAGGUUGUGUUAUAUGGUUUCAGUUAUUUUUCUAUCUGUGCCUGCCCUGCUUUGGCUGCGAUUUGGCGCCGGAUCCUCACGCACUCGUGCUGCCUGCAUGUUUUCAUUUUACUGAUAUACAUUCAUCUAGUGCCUAAUCAUAUGAAUGAACUUUAUUGUUAACCUACUGCUUUGCAUAUAAGUUUGUUCACCUUAUUUUACAUUGCAGACCAUUAUUACUGUUGUUUUAGCUCUUGUAUAUGAGUUACAUGUACCUGCUGUUGGAAUUACAGUCUAGAUACUUAUAAGUUACAGUUUCUGUCCUGGUGUAAAUCAUGAAGAAUUGUCAUGUAAGUACACUGAUAACUUAUAUAUCGUUUUAGUUUCUAUUUAGUUUUGAUAUUUGCCUACAUAUUCAGUAUCUUUCUUAUAAUUGAUCUACUAAGAGUUUAAAUGCAUUUAUGUACAUGAAAGGUGAUUUAUUUCUUCAGUUUUGCAGAUAUGAUCUUUGCUUUAUGUUCCCUUCAACCAAUUAGCACCCUAAGAUGUAUUUCCAUUGAUCAUAUUUGUUUGAGUGGCACCAUCUUCUCAUCAGCAGGGGUAUCCACAUGUUUGGCAUUGAGGAUGGAUCUCAGCAGCGCCUUAGUAUAGUUUGGCAACAAUCCGUGCCCAGUUAAACCGUUUCAGACUGGCAGUUCAAGCUCUUGAGAUAUAUAGUAUUUCUGAUUCUGCAAUAUUUCAGUUAUAUCUAUCAAGUAUCAUGUGAAGUGAUACUAACACUAUGCCUUGAACUGCUACCUAUGAUAGUUGAACUAUCAUGCAAUAUUUUUGGCUGAAAAUUUAUGCAAAAUUUUGUAUAUAAGUUCCUGUAAUUGCAUGAACUACAAAGCCCAUUUGUUCAGGCAAGGCUGUGUUUUAAAGUUCAGGUUAUACUUGACACAUUUGUU